rnacentral:rRNA from 1 species
UACGGAGGUGCAAGCGUUAUCCGGAUUCACUGGGUUAAAGGGUGCGUAGGUGGGUUGGUAAGUCAGUGGUGAAAUCCCCGAGCUUAACUUGGGAACUGCCAUUGAUACUAUCAGUCUUGAAUAUUGUGGAGGUUAGCGGAAUAUGUCAUGUAGCGGUGAAAUGCUUAGAUAUGACAUAGAACACCAAUUGGCGAAGGCAGCUGGCUACGCAUAUAUUGACACUGAGGCACGAAAGCGUGGGGAUCAAACGGG